rnacentral:rRNA from 1 species
CCUACGGGAGGCAGCAGUGGGGAAUAUUGCACAAUGGGGGAAACCCUGAUGCAGCGACGCCGCGUGAGUGAUGAAGUAUUUCGGUAUGUAAAGCUCUUUUAGCAGGGAAGAAAAUGACGGUACCUGAUUAAUAAGCCCCGGCUAACUACGUGCCAGCAGCCGCGGUAAUACGUAGGGGGCAAGCGUUAUCCGGAUUUACUGGGCGUAAAGGGAGCGUAGACGGCAGCGCAAGUCUGAAGUGAAAUGCCGGGGCUUAACCCGGGAACUGCUUUGGAAACUGUCCAGCUAGAGUGCGGGAGAGGUAAGUGGAAUUCCUGGUGUAGCGGUGAAAUGCGUAGAUAUUAGGAGGAACACCGGUGGCGAAGGCGGCUUACUGGACUGUAACUGACGUUGAGGCUCGAAAGCGUGGGGAGCAAACAGGAUUAGAUACCCCUGUAGUC